GGAAUAAGAAGAGAAGACCAAAACCCUAUCUCUAGAGACAUCAACAUUUCAGGGCAAUAGGGAUCCACCAAGACAUUUUAAGCAGAGGGCUGAUAUGAUUAAAUUUACAUCUUGGACUGAUCACCCUGGCAACAGAGAGAGGCUGUUGCAUUAAUGCAAGGGUCGUUUUGGAUCCUUGGCACUGAAUGCACAGCCCUAUAUCUGGUAGGUGCUCAGUAAACACUGAAGAGGAGGAGGAGGGUGCAGUACCCAGAACUGCUUUCUUGUUUUCAGAAGUUGUUAAUCAUCAGGUCACAGAAGAAAUCUGCAAUGUGAAUUUCAUCAUGCAAAAUAGUUAAUGCCUUGCCAAGGCAUUCAUCCCAGGAGUGUAAAUGAGUAGGGAGGAGAGUCCGGGAAGACUGACUCUGGUUACCUCACCUGGGGAUAUGCAGCCUUGAAAACACUGACUCUUGCGCUCCUGGGGGGCCCUGAUUUGCAUCCAUUUACAGCAGGAAGAGAAGGGAAUUCAGCAGCAGGGUGAACUUGGAGGAAAGCUGUGGCCAAGGUUCAGGUGAGGACAUUGGCUGACUCCAGGCUGGCCCCUCUCCCAGCAGCCUAUGCUUCUUCUUUGUAGCAUACAUCCCCUUUACAACAAAUUCGUGUUUCCUGCACUUCUUUGUUCACUCUGUCUCCUCUACUAGAGCACUAGCUCCACCAAAAUCGGGAACCAAGCCUGUCUUCUUCACCCUGACACCUGAAGCACUUCCGUGCUCAAGAAAAUCCUGGUUGAGAAAUAAACAAACGAAUCAACCUUUUCAGGCAAAGAGGAAAGAGAUUCACCGACAGAAUCAGUCACGCUGUACAUGGGAAAACCCCUUUGCAAGUUGUAAGGAAAUUAUUGUAUUGAUACAUAAGAUUAUUCACUCUAUGGGUGAGCCCUGGUGGGAGUCUGGAUCCU